UGGGGCGCAGCUUGAUACGACCGCAGAGGUCGAACCCUGAAUAGUUGGGGCAAGUAUGGACACAACAUUCAAGCUUGAUACAGCUCUGAAUUUGGAUUGUUAUUAAAUAUUUGACACAGCAUAGGUUUCUGACACAGAAAGAAUGUGGUCUAAGAACUUGAAUUUUUUUUAAUUUACCUAUUAUGGUCCAAUGUCCAAAAUCAAAAUACAUGGUUAGAUUCAGCAUAUCAAAGAACCCCAUAUAUUCAAUUUUUGUUAAAAUCAAACAAAGUUUAAUUUUGGACCCCAACUUGGACAAACUUGAAAACUGGGCCCAUAAUCAAAAAUUUAAACACAUGUUUAGAUCUGCAUAUCAAAGAACCCCAAGAAUUCAAUUUUUGCUUAAAUCAAACUAAGUUUAAUUUUGGACCCUUUGGACCUUAAUGUAGACCAAUUUAAAAAACAGGACUUAAAAUUAAAAAUCUAAAUACACAGUUAGAUUUGGAAUAUCAAAGAACCCCAAUAAUUCAAUUUUUGAUGAAAUCAAACAAAGUUUAAUUUUGGACCCUUUUGACCUCAAUAUGAACCAAUUUGAUAGCGUGGCCCACAAAUAAAAAAUCUAAAUUCAUGGUUAGAUUCAGCAUAUCAAAGAACCCCAUAUAUUCAAUUUUUGUUGAAAUCAAAAAAAGUUUAAUUUUGGACCCUUUGGACCCCAACUUGGACCAACUUGAAAACUGGGCCCAUAAUCAAAAAUCUAAACACAUGUUUAGAUUAAGCAUAUCAAAGAACCCCAACAAUUCAAUUUUUGUUAAAAUCAAACUAAGUUUAAUUUUGGACCCUUUGGACCUCAAUGAAGACCAAUUUAAAAAAGCGGGGCC